CACAGGCGACCGUGGAGAGGAGAGGCCAGGAUGUGGGAGCACCGCACGGCACAGCCAUUAACUGGCGCGGCUCUGGACUGGAAUAUCGACUGCAGAAACGAGGACGCGCAGCUGGGAGCUCUGGAGGAGCUUGAGACUCCCUCCAGAAACGUGCCAGGCGCGGUGUUGGGAAUCCACCUAGGUGUUCACUCGGGAAAGAUAAGGCUGCGCCGCUUGGAAGGGCUCCACCCGCGUCCCUGCUGUACUUUGUACCCUGGAGAGUUGGCGGGUUCUGGCAGACGAGAGUUUAAAGGCUUGGGCGGGCGGGGACGCCAGCUCUUCUAAAUCCAGGUGAGGAGCUGCCGCCGUGCGAUGACCAGACCUGUCACCAACCCCAGGAACGGCAGGGCGACAUUCGAGUUUUUCCGGGAAGAGCUAGGAUGUCAGCUCUUUCUGAGGCUUGAUUUGUGAGCUGGCUCUGGGUCACGUGCCCAAACCAUUAGGAGAUAUCAAUGUAGGCAAGCCUGAAGCUCACUGACUUCAUUUAAGAAUCAAAACGGUUUUCCCGUAAGAAAGAAUGUAUGUUCCGUUAUCAGGAUUUUAAACGAACCCUGGGACUUACCACCAUUCUUACUCUAGGGUCUCUUUGGCUUUCCAACUGUUCCUGUGGAAGGAAGAAUCACACUCCAUGCAACUUCCCUGUUCCUUUUCAUAAACGUUGCUUUGCUCGGUAAGAUCCCUGCAAGCCUUUAUUUGAAACUAGCCUGUUCACAGGAAGAGUGACCCGCAGCAGCUUAGUGCUCUGCCUCCUUCAAGCUUUGCUGUCUCCAGUUUUUCCUUAGUUUCUCCUUCUCCUCAACCAGGCUGUGCCCGCUGUACUGUAAGUCUCAGUUUUCCUCCUCUCAGUAGAGUUUACUCCAAGGAGAGGCUAAACUCCUCAUGGAGGCUAUCUGUACCGGUCCAGAAUGAAGAAAUGGAUGCAGAAAUUAAAAACAAAAAAGUAUAUUUCCUAAUGCCCUGUUGCUUUAUCCAGGUAAUCACUUACAUAUACUGCAUGUGUUUUAGUUCCCAAAACUAAUUGUCUUGAACAGGAAAGAAUAACUUCUGUAGUGUGUUGAUGAUAGCAAUCAAAGACUAAAAUAAAUGACAGACUUUCAUAGGAAUGUGUGCAAUUAUUAAUGAGGAAUGUGCUAGGAUGGAAUUUGAAAUUUCAUACGGCUGAAACUGUUUUAACCCAUUAUUUUACCUGAACAAAUUGCCUUCUUUAAAGUGGAAUGUACAAUUGGUGUUUAGUUAUAUUUAUUUUUCCUUUACAAAUACAGCACAUAUGGAGAGAAAAUAAAUGUUCAUUAAGUUAAAAGAAAAGAGAGUGGGUAUUGUCCCAGAAUCCCAGAAGAGCAUUUUACUAGCCAAGCCUCAUAUAAUGCCUUAGAUGCCUCUGCCAAUCACUGACUAAAGACACCUGACUAUCUGUACCUCUGGGAGCUUGGAUUUCAACAGUCAUUAUUUAGAUGCCUUGGCUUUGAUCAUGGUUGCUCUUUGGGAAGUGUGUGAUGGGAGUCAGUGAAAAACAGCUCUGUUGUUCAGAAUUUCAUUAAAUUCACUUUCAG
rnacentral:lncRNA from 1 species